GUGCUGCUUGACCUGCGGCUGGGUGCAGGCCCAGGGUUCCCUUCUCUUGGCUUCCCGUCCCUGUGCGGUCAGUGUACCUGGGCAGGGCUCAGGAACUGCCUUGUCGGGGAAGCCUGGAAGCCAGUCAUUCCUCUCCUGCUCUGGAACUCUGUGUUCUGCCAGGGACACAGUUUGUGGGGCAGGCCUGAGACCUUCCAUGUAGCUGGUGGGAUAAAUGAAGAUUUUGAGGCCAAAGGAGAAUUGCAGGGAAGAUAAAUCCUGAAAACUUUUCAAACAUUUCAGAAUGCACACUCCCUUUGAAGAGUAAAAAAGGAUAUUUGUCGCCCUGGCUUGUCCCCAGACCUUCGGUGGAGGGGGUGGAAGCGGUUCCUGGAUGGCCUCUCCACCAGCCCGUGAUGGCGUGUUCCCCGAACAUUAUCAGCUUGGUGAAAUGACGGCUGCAGAGAGAAGGGAAGAAGAGUUGGCCUCCAACCAUGAAACUGACACUCACCCUCAAGAACAACUGAUAACAACAGCAGAUGAAAGGACCGAUUUUACAGUUUUACUUAUUAUACAUUAGUGGGCCUUGGGUGAAGGUAAAUAAAGUAGUAUAUGGAACUAUUUCUUUAUAAUAACCAUAAAAUAAUGACAAAUAAUCUGUAGUGUGCUAAGAGGAAAGCUGAAAGAAUAAUAAAAGUUGUCAUGCAAUUGGGGGAGGAGAAUCAGAAGACAGUGAAUUCAUAUACUAAAUCUCAGAAAAGUAGAAAGGACACUUUGAAAUGUAAAAGAGGUAUAUUAAAGAAAGAAACUCGCAAGCCAUGAGGCACCUAUUUGUUCUGCACGGUGUCUUUUAAAAUUUUUGAUUGAAUUCAUAAUGUUUGAAAAUUCAGACUUGAGGAUUCUAGGGAAAAGUCAGAAUAUUUUUUUUUUUUUUUGAGAUGGAGUCUUGCUCUGUUGCCCAGGCUGGAGUGCAAUGGUGUGAUCUCGGCUCACUGCAACCUCCGCCUCCCAGGUUCAAGGGAUUCUCCUGCCUCAGCCUCCCAAGUAGCUGGGAUUACAGAUGUGCGCCACCAUGCCCAGCUAAUUUUUGUAUUUUUAGUAGAGAUGGGGUUUCACCAUGUUGGCCAGGCUGGUCUCAAACUCCUGACCUCAGGUGAUCAGCCCACCUCAGCCUCCCAAAGUGCUGGGAUUACAGGCAUAUGAGCCACUGCACCCAGCCAUAAAUCAAAAUAUCUUGGCCACAAUGAACCAUACUCAUCUCAGGCUGAAGUUGGGCGUGGCUGCUCCCUGUAGAUGGGACACCCACUCUCUUACUGUGAAUCCUUACACACAAACCAUUUCACUGACUCAUCAUUUUAGACAUUCAGAGUGUGUAACCCGAGUUAAAGAGGAAAAAAGGAAUGCUAUGUAAAUACAAGUGGAAAACAUACAAAUCAUCAGUCCCUAAAUGGUACAAAUGAAAGUAGAAACAGAUUCUAGAUAAAUUCAUGGUCAAUAAAUCCAAAAUCCUUUUUAAAGAGA